AUUUCGCGGAUCUGGUCGCACACCCGGCUUCUCAAUUACAUCGCUGUUCUAACCUUUAUUGCGCCGGCAUCGUCAAAUCGGGUAUCCUUGCGCAAUCCCCGCCAGAGCUCGGCAAUGCUAUUAGCUUGGUAAGAAAUUAACGUCGGUUUUCGAACUUUUGAACUUUGACGCUUGGUUUCGAGAUAACAGUUCACUUUAUUUUAUUUACGUUCUAAUGUUAUCUUACAGUGCGGAUGUCGCGUUGCAUGCUGUUAGGUACGUUUCUGUUUUUACUGUUAAUUUGUGCUCGCUUCAAGUUAUUUACUUCGCAAUGGAUACUAAGCAAGCUCGUGUAAUAUUCUUACACGAAUAUAAACUGGGUCACAAAGCUGCAACUGCGACUCGUAACAUCAACGAUGCAUUUGAAGAAGAUACCGUAAAUGAACGCACGGUGCAGCAUUGGUUCAAGAAAUUUCGAAGUGGAGAUGAGAGCCUCAAAGACGAAGAUGGUGGCGGACGCCCUUCUCUCGUCGACAACGAACAAUCGAAGGCACUGAUUGAAACUGAUCCACGAACAACGAUUCGACAACUUGGACAGGAGUUGGAUUAUUGACUCACCUGAGACAGCUGGGAAAAACGGAUGCCGCAUGAGUUAAGCGUAGACCGAAAAUCGACAUUAUUUUCCUACCAUAAGCUGCGAGCGAAAGGGUGGUCGAUGGGGGUUGUCGAUGAGGUAUACGAGGUUCGCAGAGAAAAGGAGGAUGUAAGGACAGGAGCGAAGAAACAGCAGAGGAGGAAAGAAAAGUGACGGAGGAACGGAAAAGUGGUGGUAAGGGUGGAAUAGUGCGAGUGGGAGGGUUGUUGGGUGGCUUGAGGACGCAAGGAGGAGAGGAGCAUGAUGGGAAGAGCGAUAGAGGUAAGGGCAGGAGCGAAGGAACACCGGUGAGGAAACGGGGGAGGAAAGAAAAGUGACGGAGAAACGGAAAAAGGGGGUGCAAGGGUGUAACCGAGUGAGUGGGAGCGUGUGGCGAGGCUGGAGGGAGCGAGGAGGAGAGAAAAGCAAGGUGGUGCAGCGGAGAAGGCGAUCGAUGCACCGUCCCGGCCAUACGGCGGUGCCUGAGUCAGCCUUUCGCGAGCAUUGGCCGCCUGGCAUUACGGCUGCGCUCGUCGUAGAAAAGCGGCAACCGAGGAGCGGAUUGGGGCUGAAGGAGAAUGGGGAUGAGGGUGGAAGACUGAAUCGUUGCCGCCAAACGCAGCCUCUGCAAGUAAGACGCAACGAGAGCUAUUAUCCACAGAAAUUUCUCAUCACAGAAAUAAAGCACGACGUGAAACUGUUUGCCAACCACUGGAUGUAACGGCUCGGCUUUUAUUUCGUCGAUGAACCCUAGUCCAGCAUCGAUUACCUCAGCGUCGACCUACGCGCGGUAAUAUCGGCUCCACUUCGCUUCGUCGAUUACACGCCAUCGCUCUAAUUAUUAUCCAGUGGAUCGAGUUCUCAUCGAUUCGUUUCACCGUGGAGUGGAGGGUAAUUAAGGUUCAAACGAAUGCGACGAAUCGCGAGAAAUCAAGAUUAAUCGGCAUUGAGAAGUGCACCUAUCACAAAAGAACCCCCGGUUUACAUUUAUUUCGCCAAGGGGUGACCUGUUUUGUGCGCGAUUGUCGGAUGUUAAACAGGAAUGGGAAAAAAUACUUGCUUGGAUGGAAAUUGAUAAUAAAAUAUACGCGACUUUCCAUUCAUCUAUCUCGUUGAGUAAAAAUUAGAAUUUUAUUAUGAUAGUCCCAUUUCAUUAUUCGGAUUAUAUUUGAACGAAUGACAACUUAUCCGAGCAAACGUUGAGUCAAAUAGAAUAUCACUAUAAUAGUUAAAAUAUAAAAAUUAAAAUAAAAUGAAAGUUAUGAGUAGACUGCGAAUUUUAUGCAUCCAAACUAAUGCAAUAAAUUGUACAUGCUAAAUAUAACCAAAAGGUAUGCGUACGUAUUCCAAACGUAAUAAAAAUAUUAUUAUAUUAAUAGUAGAAUAUAUUCAACGUGCAUUACGUAUAUUUUUUGUUGUUUUCCAUGUUACGAAUGGAUUUCCAAUAAAAGCUUCAAAAUUUUGUUUCUCGAUAACAAAGUAUGCCUAUCAACAUUGUCUUCGAAAAAUACAUACAGAUCGAAAAAUAAUGUCAUUUCUUUUACAUUAAAUUCAAACAAAUACAUUCGUUAUCAACAGCCCUUAGUAUUGAGAUUCGCAGAAACGACAUUACUUUCCAGUCCACCUAACAUUAAUUACAUAAAUCCCUUAUAUUCCCUACCAGUUCUAUUUGAUUAAAAAACAAAAUUCCUAAAGCUCCUAUUGGAAAAUCCUUUACAUCGCGAACUAAAGAAAGAAUACACGCAAAUUGUAGCCAAAGUACAAUCUUCAUUCACAAAUAAUCGGUAUAAUUCUCGCUUCUCUGCCGUGACUCCAUUCGUUGAAAUUGAGUUGUACUCAUUUGUACGGCUAUCCUAUCCGUCCGUGUAUCUCGCUUCAGCUUGAUUCGAGCGGCGCAAUUUUUAUCGAGAAUCGAACGGGCGCUCGUAGCGAACCGAUCGUUUCCAUCGACGCCAGUAAAAUCUAGAGGGGCAAAAAUCGAGCGCAGGUGUCUUUGUCUGAUUAACCAGCGUGGCUCGUAAACCACACUAUGGCUAAUUAUCGGCAUUGAGGCGACUAAAGGAGCGGAAGACCGGUUGAUCGAGCUUGUUGGCCGCUCAGAGAAUCAGAAGUUGCUAAGGCCCGUUGCUGGUCUCGCAAACUCAUUAUCCGAGGCUUGUACCCAGCCCAACCCUAUUCCCUAUCCCUUUCUCUGUCCUCCCACCCUCUGUCCUCCUCGCCCCAGCACCUCUCGGCACUAAUUAUAACCGUAAUCGUGGCGUGCAUUAACUCUCCUCGUACAAGUAAUUGUUAACGCGAGAACACGAACCAGAUUGCAUUACCACGCUAGUUUUGCGGCCCUCCAUUGGUAAUUAGAGCUCUACGAUCGAGUUGAAGUCUGUUAUCUUUAUUUCGAGCUGGCCUUUUCACCUGUCCUCUUAAUUCGCGGUAUUAUUAAAGUACGCUCGAGCGGCGUGGUGACUACUCGUUAAUAAACUGAAAUUUUACAUCGAUAAAAGUUUGGGAAUCAUUCCAAGUAAUUAAAUACUCCUGGUUGGGAGCCAAAAGUGAUGCUUGCCGUGCGUGGGAUCGGACAUCCAUUAAUAGACGUAUAGAUUUAUUAGUUAUAUAUGGACUGUUGUAAACGUUAGGUAAGAGGUUGCUCGUU